rnacentral:rRNA from 1 species
CCUACGGGAGGCUGCAGUGGGGAAUAUUGUGCAAUGGGCGAACGCCUGACGCAGCGACGCCGCGUGAGGGAUGAAGGUCUUCGGAUCGUAAACCUCUGUCAGCAGGGAAGAACGGUCACUGUGCUAAUCAGCAGUGAAUUGACGGUACCUGCAAAGGAAGCACCGGCUAACUCCGUGCCAGCAGCCGCGGUAAUACGGAGGGUGCGAGCGUUAAUCGGAAUUACUGGGCGUAAAGCGCUCGUAGGCGGUAUGUCAAGUCAAGGGGGAAAUCCCCGCGCUCAACGUGGGAACUGCCGUUGAAACUGGCAAACUGGAGUGGGUGAGAGGAUAGUGGAAUUCCAGGUGUAGGAGUGAAAUCCGUAGAUAUCUGGAGGAACAUCAGUGGCGAAGGCGACUAUCUGGCACAUAACUGACGCUGAGGAGCGAAAGCGUGGGUAGCAAACAGGAUUAGAUACCCCGGUAGUC